CUUAUAAAAACAUUCAGAGAUGACAAUUAUAUAGAUUUAGGAAUACUUCAACAUUUUUGUAAUAGCUUCUCCGUCAAUCCACAUUGUACUGCUCAUUCUGGUGUGGGCGCAUAAGACGGGUACAGUGUUCCCUUGUUUAUCGCGGGGGUUACAUUCCAAAAAUAAACCGCGAUAGGUGAAAUGCGCCAAGUAGGAAACUAUUUUUUGACAAUUAUUAUAUACUAUGUGGGGGCACGUGAAUGACUGGUUAGCACAACUGCCUCACAGUUCUGACGACUGGGGUUCAAAUCCCGGCACGCCUGUGUGGAGUUUGCAUGUUCUCCCCAUGCCCGGGUGUGAAUGGUUGUUUGUUCGUAUGUGCCCUGCGAUUGGCUGGUUCAGGGUGUACCUCUCGCCCGAAGAUGGCUGGGCUAGGCUCCAGCACGCCCGCGACCCUUGUGAGGAUAAAGCGGUACGGACAAUGGAUGGACAUUAUACUGUAUUUUCUCACAUUUCUAUCUUGUUUAAACACGCUCAAAGUUCAAACCUCUGUAAGAAAAAUAAGUUCAUUAUUAUUAUUACUAUUGUUGUUGUACUUAUUAUUAUUAUUGUUGUUAAUAUUAUUGUAUAACGAAACAAAAGUCAAAACCUGUCUUAAGGCCCAAACAUUUGUUUAAGAAAUAAAAAUGUAAACAUUUUCUGACAAAUAAUGACAAUUUUUAGAAAUAACGAAUUUAAUUUUAAUGCACAACGUAUGAGGUUGGAAAUGCAAGUUAUCGUUAAUUGUGACUCGCGCGUAUUUCACGCUUUCUCUGACUGUCCUCUUGUUACUUUCCUCCUUUUUAAUGUAACGCACCUAAGAUGAAUUCAUUCCGAAAUGGCGCCCAAGAGCCGUGUAACUUCUACAUUCCUUGAUCAUGUCCAGAAGUCUCACUUUUUCUGCGAUAGUUCGCUAACAAACGGUUAAUGUCGGUGUAAUAAUGUCAAAAUAGAGCUUUCCACGGAAGCGUUUGCUAGGCGUUAUAACACCACAGAUGUGAUCAGCAGCUGCUACGUUUAUGAAGGAAGACUGAGGUAGGUGCGAUAUCAUCGCGCGGUACUUUUUCUAAACAAGUCAACAAAGGGCAAUGCAAUCAGAAUGGCUCCGAAGAAACGGGAUACUGCUUAAAAUUAUGUUAAGUAACACUUUUAUUAGUUUUUUUCCUCCUUGUUUUAAAUGUUUAGAAGCUGUUUUUUUUUCUUUUGUUUUUAAAUGCUUUUCAUCAUGAAAAGCACAUUGAGUUACCUUGUGUAUGAAAUGCCCUUUAUAAAUAAAGUUGCUUUGUUUUGUGUUCGCUGAGUGGAAAGAUCUGUGCUGUGCAACCAUCAUUGACCGUGUGUCACGCAAUCUUAGUUAGUUUUAUCAUGCUGACCAAAAAAUGAGAAAGCACUUGCCGGUGAUAGCGUGAGCAAGGGACAAAAAAAAAAAUAAAAAAUUUAAAAAAAUCAAUAUACUCAAAAAAAUAUGUGCAGCAAAUUGGCCAACAAAGCAAUUCAUAUUUUAAAUGACAAUGUGACAUCCCACUUUCAGAUUUAUUUAUUUUUUUUCUGUAUGGAAAAAAAGCCAAACAAGUUUCCCUGGAGUGGUUUGUUUUGCCAAAAUCAACCAAUGAAAUUAGAAAGAAACACAAAAGAAAAAAAACAUCUGAAUCAUAAUUUCCGCAUGUUAUUAUGGAAGAAAACUCUUCUUCAAUGAGGAGCUGUAGUCUCCCCUUUCUCCUCCCCAGUUAACAGUUAAACUGUUGUCAUGUUUAUUUCAUAUUUUAUUUCUUUUUAAUAGUGUGUUUUGACUCAUUUCCAGCCACCCAUUUUCUGUGCCGCUUCUCCUCACUAGGGUCGCGGGUGUGCUGGAGGCGGGGUAGGCCCAUCGAAAACUUGUAACUCCUGUCACUGACCUUCUUGGUAUACGCCAUCUGCCAUCACAAGAUGAAGGAUGUUUGGAUACAGAUGCUGGUGCUCAGUUCCCAAAAUGCUGAAUGCCAAACUGGAGC